GACGUAGGGGGCAAGCGUUGUUCGGAAUUACUGGGCGUAAAGGGCUCGUAGGCGGCCAACUAAGUCAGACGUGAAAUCCCUCGGCUUAACCGGGGAACUGCAUCUGAUACUGGAUGGCUUGAGUUCGGGAGAGGGAUGCGGAAUUCCAGGUGUAGCGGUGAAAUGCGUAGAUAUCUGGAGGAACACCGGUGGCGAAGGCGGCAUCCUGGACCGGCACUGACGCUGAGGAGCGAAAGCCAGGGGAGCAAACGGG
rnacentral:rRNA from 1 species